UGAGGAAUAUUGGACAAUGGGUGAGAGCCUGAUCCAGCCAUCCCGCGUGAAGGACGACGGCCCUAUGGGUUGUAAACUUCUUUUGUACAGGGAUAAACCUACCCUCGUGAGGGUAGCUGAAGGUACUGUACGAAUAAGCACCGGCUAACUCCGUGCCAGCAGCCGCGGUAAUACGGAGGGUGCAAGCGUUAUCCGGAUUUAUUGGGUUUAAAGGGGUCCGUAGGCGGAUCUGUAAGUCAGUGGUGAAAUCUCACAGCUUAACUGUGAAACUGCCAUUGAUACUGCAGGUCUUGAGUAAAUUUGAAGUGGCUGGAAUAAGUAGUGUAGCGGUGAAAUGCAUAGAUAUUACUUAGAACACCAAUUGCGAAGGCAGGUCACUAAGAUUUAACUGACGCUGAUGGACGAAAGCGUGGGAGCGAACAGGAUUAGAUACCCUGGUAGUCCACGCCGUAAACGAUGCUAACUCGUUUUUGGGUUUUUCGGAUUCAGAGACUAAGCGAAAGUGAUAA
rnacentral:rRNA from 1 species